UACGGAGGGUGCAAGCGUUAUCCGGAUUCACUGGGUUUAAAGGGUGUGUAGGCGGGCAAUUAAGUCAGUGGUGAAAUCUCCAGGCUCAACCUGGAAACUGCCAAUGAUACUAUUUGUCUUGAAUACUGUUGAGGUGGGCGGAAUAUGUCAUGUAGCGGUGAAAUGCAUAGAUAUGACAUAGAACACCAAUUGCGAAGGCAGCUCACUAAGCAGGUAUUGACGCUGAGGCACGAAAAGCGUGGGGGAUCAAAACAGG
rnacentral:rRNA from 1 species